GUGCUACUUAUAGAUAUACUGCUCCAUUCAAGUUAACGUCAUAAAGGGCAACGUACAGUUGGUCUAGUGUACCAUUUAGAAGGAUUAAACGCAAGAUCAUAUUUGAUUCCUGUUUGCGCACAUAAAAUAUAAUUGUUUAUCAUUCUAUUAACAAUAUUUACAUACAUAUCUUAAUACCAUGACAUCAAUUUUUCGAACGUGCAUUGAUAAACAUUUCUUAAAUGGUUUAUUUAAUCGAUUAUGUAAGGUAUCAAAAACCACUAAUUUACUACAGAGAGCACAUAUUAGUGGAAAAAUUAAUCGAGUCAAACGACCCCGACCACCACCUUUUCCUUAUCAAGAAAAAGAAUAUACUUCCUUCAGUUUCUUAGAGUACACCAUAGAAAGAUACGAUGAAAACAGUAGAAUUAUAGUUGUUGAAGGACCUAUAGCAGCUGGAAAAGAUAAAUUUGCCAGGGAAUUGGCAAAAAAACUUGAGAUGGGAUAUAUGCCACCUCCAUCGUUUGAUUUACUAUAUAAAAAUGCUUAUGGCUCUGAUAUAAGAUCUUUAAAUCCGCAAAUGCCCGAGGAAUUACAAACAUGCGAUAUAGAAACAUUUUUAACCAAUCCAAAGCAUAAAUGCGUGCCAGCUUUUCGAAUUACUCAUUACCUGUUAAAAUUAGACGCUUAUCUAGAGUCAUUGUUACACGUAUUAUCAACUGGAGAAGGAGUAGUGCUUAAUCGUUCUUUAUAUUCAGAUUUUAUAUUUAUGAAUGCUAUGUAUCAAGCAGGAUAUAUGAAUCGUCAAUGUUGUAAUUUCUACCAAGAAGUUCUAAAAACAACAAUGUGUUACUGUAAGAGACCUCAUUUGGUUAUUUAUUUGGACGUUCCAGUCAAUGUUGUCAAGGAAAGAAUACAGAAAAGAUGUAUACCUUAUGAAGUAAAUUCAGAAGUUUUAACGACAAAAUAUCUCACUGAUAUAGAAACUGCAUAUAAAGAAGUUUAUUUACCACAAAUUUCUGAUCAUGCAUAUUUAUUAAUAUAUGAUUGGGUAAAUGAUGGCAAUAUCGAUGAUAUCGUCGACGAUAUAGAAAAGAUAGAUUUUAACUUUAAUGAUAACGAUUCAAAUAAGCUGAGCGAUUGGAUAUUUAUAAAUCUAUCUGAAUUGGAGGACACAAGAAAAAUGUAUUCCCAUCGAAAUCGAUCUCUGAUCAUUACGGAAUCUAUAGUACCACUUUAUGAAGUUUCUGAAAUGUUUUAUUUUGGUGAUACAAACAAGAUUGUAAAUUUGCAAAAAUCGAUUCCUGGUGCAGAAUUCUCAAAAGGAUAUAAUACUGAUAUGGGUGACAAAGUAUUGUGGAAGCUCAAACACGAAUGUAGUCCUACUAUACCUUCAGUGAUACCCCAUAAGGAACUUAUAGCAACUGAAUGAAUCCAGACAUAAGUGAAAAUAAUUAUUUUAAGUUAGAUAUUUACUUAUUAAAUUUUUUGUAGUAAGAAGAAAUUGAAUUGAAAAGUUUCAUUUCAGCCAAAGAGAGCGAGGGGGAAGGAGAGAGAGAGAGAGAGUUGAUAUAAUUUUAAAUAAAUAAAAAUAUUUAAAUAUCGUGCGUGUAUAUAUAAACGGAAAAUUUUACCUUAUAAUUCUGCAGUAAUAUUUUUUCAUGCUAUCAAUAACAAGUUAUUAUUGAUAAUAAUAACAAGUUAAUGUUAUUUUAUCUGCAAUAAUUCUCAUAUGAAAAAUAUUAACACAUUUACAUUAUUCUAUGGAUAUUUAUACACGUCGUACACAUCCAAACAUUUAUAAUUACUAUAAUAUACAGUGUUGUAUGUCUGUUAUGUUUUUUAAUAUGAAAGACAUCAAUUAAAAUAAGAAUAUAUAAACAGGUACAUAUCAAGUAGAUUCUGUUCAAGCAAUAAUCAUACUACAAUAUUUAUUCUCCAUGUCAUCCCAAUUGGUUAAUGUGUUAAAGUUUAUAUUAAAAAAUUUUACAUGUAAAUUAUUUAAUAUCGGAAUGUAAUUGUAACUUCCAACUGAAAUAAAUACAACAAGGAGACACUUUCUUUACAAA